rnacentral:rRNA from 1 species
GUGCCAGCAGCCGCGGUAAUACCGGCGCCUCAAGUGGUCGUCGCUUUUAUUGGGCCUAAAACGUCCGUAGCCGGUUUGGUACAUUCGUGGGUAAAUCAGCUCGCUCAACGAGCUGAAUUCUGCGAGCACGGCCAGACUAGGGACCGGGAGAGGUGUGGGGAACUCUCAGGGUAGGGGUAAAAUCCUGUCAUCCUGAGAGGACCACCUGUUGCGAAGGCGCCACACUAGAACGGAUCCGACGGUCAGGGACGAAGCCUAGGGGCACGAACCGGAUUAGAUACCCGGGUAGUCCUAGGUGUAAACGCUGUGGACUUGGUGUUGGGUGCGCUCCGAGCGCUUCCAGUGCCGUAGCGAAGGUGUUGAGUCCACUGCCUGGGGAGUACGGUCGCAAGGCGGAAACUUAAAGGAAUUGGCGGGGGAGCACUGCAACCGGAGGAUUGUGCGGUUUAAUUGGAUUCAACGCCGGAAAACUCACCAGCAUCGACGGACAAAUGAAGGCCAACUUGACGAGUUUGCUGGAUUGCUCGAGAGGUCGUGCAUGGCCGCCGUCAGUUCGUACCGUAAGGCGUUCUGUUAAGUCAGAUAACGAACGAGACCCCCAUCCCUAUUUGCUAGCGGAAUCGUCAGAUUCCGUGGACUAUAGGGAGACCGCUGGCGCUAAGUCAGAGGAAGGUGGGGGCAACGGUAGGUCAGUAUGCGCCGAAUAUGCUGGGCUACACGCGCAAUACAAAGGACAGGACAAUGAGAAGCCAGGCCGAGAGGCCGAGCUAACCCGAAACCCGUUCAUAGUUCGGAUCGAGGGCUGUAACUCGCCCUCGUGAAGCUGGAUUCCGUAGUAAUCGUGUUUCAAUAUAGCACGGUGAAUAUGCCCCUGCUCCUUGCACUCACCGCCCGUC